UUUAGUCAGGCAACGAGCAAGACCCGUGCCUACAGUUGCCAGCAUUUUCGCAAGAAAGAUGGGCACACUGUGGGGACCGCCGCUGCUAAAGCGGAGGAAGGAGCGGGCUACGGUAGGUCAGUAUGCCCCGAAUGGUCCGGGCUACACGCGGGCUACAAUGGUUGGGACAAUGGGCACCUACACCAAGAGGUGAUGGUAAUCUCCUAAACCCAGCCUUAGUUCGGAUUGAGGGCUGCAACUCGCCCUCAUGAAGCCGGAAUCCGUAGUAAUCGCGUAUCAACAUUACGCGGUGAAUACGUCCCUGCUCCUUGCACA
rnacentral:rRNA from 1 species